UCCCACUGAUGAGUCCUUUCAGGAUCGUGAAUGGAACAAUUGUCAAAAACUGCGGGAAAAAACAACAAGCCCUGAGACUCCUAGCCACAGACGCGGCUUGUGUGCGCGCAUGUGACAUUUGCAGGCAAGCCAGAUCUGGUCGUAAACUCUUGAGCGUUAUUCGAGAUAAAACCUUACAUUGCUUAUACGGUUAAAGAGGCUGCUUAUCCCCGAUCAAAAAACAAACAGCUUCGGAGGCAGGGAAAGCCAGGAAACGAGCAAGCUCUCCGCCAGACACACCUUGCCUUCCUCGGAUCCUACAGCACUGUCUACAACCAGCUGCGCUGUGCUCUCGCAACUGUCACUGCUUCGUUUUAAAAGAAGAAGAAGAAGAAGAGUAAUAAUAAUAAGUGAAAUACUUCCUGGAAACUUACUUCGCAUUUAGUUUAGGCACUAUUCUUUUUUUCAGCUCGCAAAGGAAGCCGUUUUGUCCAGGUCGAUUUGCAUGACCUCCGGCAAAGAGCUACGGCAGCAAGAAAUCCCAAGCCGAACGUUGCCACAAAGCGGCACACAUCGCCCCUUCUCCGGGUGCAGACAGAGCUCGCAGAUGAUGGACUGCCCCCCCCCCUCCUCCCUCGUGUAUCACGAAUUCGGGUGCGAUAUCAAUUUUAAAGUUUUCCGUAUAACUUUAUCCAAGCCCCCUGCUUGGAGAGAUAAGGCGCCGCCGCAGAAGCGCAGCUCCUCGGGACAGUGCCCCGCUGUGGCCGAACCCGGCAUCGCCGCCGGCGGGUCCCGGAGCUUUGUAGGGUUCCCCGCUCCGCGCACAGCACUCAUUUGUGGCCAACUUCAAAGCAGUCACCCACCUCGAACUUAACGGAGAAUUUAAAAGCACCACUAAGCUCCCUUCGCCUUGCUCCAGCCCGCGUCUUUCGGGGUGAGCCGCGAAGAGAAGCCCACGCCAACACUUGGGAGCAGUGACAGCAGCGCUCUGCUCUCAAAGAUUUAUUUCGGAUUUUAUUUUUCCUCUCUCUCUCUCUUUCUCCCUCUCGUGUUAGUUCCUUACGUACAAUAUCUUCCCAGCACCAUGUGUUCGCCUGCCGUGGGUGAUCUUAAAAUACAGCGCUGAUCUGUCACUACAUUUUAAAAUAAACUCUACUCGGGGAGGAUGAGAAAGUGUUGUGAUUUCGAGGCACUGAGGUCCCUUAAUGUCUCUGAAACCUCGGGAUUCAAACAGCCCCGGAAACUCUCCCGGGGACGAGACUACAACUACUUUUUCCUAAGGGGGAAAAAGAAAAAAAAUAAAGGGGGAAAAAAAAAACCUCGUGGUACAAAAGUAAAUAAUCGUGCAGGGGGAGGCGGGGGGAAGGGGUGAAUUCAGCAACGUUAAAAGCUAAACAACACAUCUACCUCCGGACGCUGCUCCUUUACUCAAUUGCAACUAACAACCCAUUAAAGACAGCGCAGGGGGAACCGGAUUCUCUCCUGCAAAGCGACAUAAAUCCAGCGAAAACCCAUUAAACCACCACCGCCGCCACCAAGCAACGCAGCACUACACACCACAGCAAACAACAGUGAAGGCGAUGGUUACUGCUGUCAAUCUUGGCAAUCAAUGUGAGCGGCCAUGUCGUAAGUAUUCAAAGCAUUUCCCGUCGUGCAACAUCAGAAAGUGAGUGGCCAGGGCAUUGAUCUGAGGAAGGCAAAAGGAGGCAGGGCUCCCCCGCCCAGACAGCACAGGCAAGAUGAGACAACACAGAGAGAGAGAGAGAGAGGGAGAGAGAGAGAGAGAGAGAGGGAAAGGCAGAGAGGGAGAGGGAGGCUCAGAGCGAGUGAGCGGGGAAAGCAACAACUGCAGAGAAAGUGAGCACAAAACAGAAAGUGAAAUCACCCCAGGCUGCCAGCCGCAUCCCCGAGAAGCUAUCACCACUCACAUUGCUAUUAGACAAAUGAAACCUAAAACCUCUCUCCUCUAAUGACCACUGAUUGCCCGGAGUGGUGAGGAAAGGUACCAGAAAGUUACCGGGCGGAGGGGGGGCGAAGGGCGGGGAGGGGGAGGCGGCCGGGGGCCGGAAGAGGGGGAGGGCGGCCGGGGGGGGCCGGGGGAGCCGCUGCGGGGCCGGGGCUGCGCGGGGCGAGCGGCGCGGAGCUCCCGGCGCGGCCCCCCCGGCGCCCCCCGGCCGGGCAGGGAGGCGGGCACACGCCGCCGAGCCUCCCGGAGGAGGAGAGGACGGACAGACGGCCGGACAGAAAGAAAAGAAGAAGAAGGGGGCGGGGGGGGGGGGGGGGGGAAGGAGGGGGGGGGCGAGCCGGUCCGCAGGACGCGGGCUGGGCCGGCGGGGACGCAGGAGGAAGGCGCUGGAGGAGCGCUGACUGACAGCUGCUGAGCGGGGCUCUGAGCAGCCCGCUCGGGGGAAAAAGCAGAUGAAACAGAGGGUGAAGCCCAGCCGAGGGGGGGGGCUGGCUCCGGGAGCACACGGGACGGGAGCACGGAGAAGCCCGCUCCCUCCGGGGAGGCGGCCCCGGGGCGGGGGAAGCCGGGCACGGGCACCCCCGGGCCGGGCACGGGCACGGCCGGAGCCGCAGCUGGGCGAGCUUGCAGCAGCGGCACCACGCACAUCUCGCUCCCUCUCCCUUAGCUAAAGGCAACAGACAGGGACGGGAACGCCAAUUUAGGAACUCACGCUCCUCUGGAAGUGCUAAUUGGGAGGGGGGGGGAAAUCCGGGAGAAAGACGGGGAAAACUCUGAGGAGAGAAUGAACCGAAGGCACGGAGUAAUGCAAAGCCCAGCAAGUCUCUCCCCUGUAUUUUUACAUGCCAAAGGUAAACAUAAAAGAGCCUUUCAAACUGGCAGGGGCCCGCAGAUCAGGUGGGCAAACAGCGCUGCAAAGCCAGCGUCUCCCUCUUUUGAUAUUAUUCACACCUAGGCUAAACUGUUGUUAAGAUGGGAGUGCGGAAAGCAACCUCAAGCCCACAAAAUGAGAGAGAGAGAGAAGUUGUUGAUUCAUCUCUGUAUUUUUGGCACUUUCUCCCCAUUUUCCAGAAGGCGCCUGGAACAGUUAGUAACAGAGAAACUUUUUAAUUUUAAAAUAGCUUCCUAACUUAUAGAGGCCAAAAAGACGAGGAGAAAGCCUCAUUUCGCUUUCCUCCUCUCUCAAGUAGAACUGUGCAGAAUAGGUUAGAGCCAGAGGUCUGCUCAGCCCUCCCGCAAAUGAACCUUGCUUUCUAAGGACGUGCUGAAAACCGAGCAGCAACGUGAUGGCACAGAACUGAUCUGCUCUGGCUCCGUUUCAUUUUGUUCCCCAGCUGUAAAACUCAAAGCACGACGAGAGUCGGGCACGCUGCAGCCUCUACCUUGCUACCCGCCGUACCAUCGUCCCUCUCUAGUCCAGUCCAGGGAAAAUAAGUUUUAAGUCAGAACCCCGUGGAAUAACGGACCUAGUUCAUAAAGUAUUUGUGGCGAUUCCGCUGCGGUAACAGGAGCAAUCGAGUCCUACCCGGCAAGCAACAAACACCUUGAAACAGAACUUGAAAUUUAUCUAGGAAGGCUUUACCGUCAAAUUAGCUGGCCGAGGGCAUAGCAGCUAAUUUCCAUGCAUUCUUUCAAUUUUAAUGAAAGAUGCUAAAAACCUGUAAUUCGGAGACAGGGUAAAUUGUUCGACUGCAGCUGCUGAGUGUGUAUUCACCUGCGUUCAGCUAAUUCAAACUAUUCAUCUUGCUGCAGUUAUCUAAGGUAUGGAUUUAACAACAGGAAGCAGCUUCCCUUCCAGAUAUCGCUACGUCCUUUUUAGUCUUUAAUUGUAAGAAUUCCUGCGAUAGGUCAGUAACACUUUCCUUGUAAUACAUUUCGACCUGCUGCAAGUAAAGGAAACAACCUGACUUUACGCAUAACUAGUGGCUUUGGCGCACAAAAAAAAUGAGUUCUGCAAGGAAGCAGAUGUAAGCAGAACACAAGGACGACCCGUCCUAUCCGAGUUCACUACCCCACCAAUUUAUUGCUGGAAGUGUUUUUCUUUCAAGAAAAACAAAGAAAAAAAAAAAAAAAAAAAAAAAAAAACCACCACCUACAUCCUCAAACGCAGCCUCCUCCUUCGAACAACUUAUAAAGUACGAGGCGGUAAUGGGACAAGAGAUAAUGAAGGCAUCCGAAAAAAAUUAACCGCCCACCUAGGUCCAAAUCAGAGGAGCAUCCCUCUGCACUCCCGAAAAUCCCGUGCAGGGAAUGACACUCAGCUGGGGCAGGACAGCGCAGGGAUGCGCCCGCAUUCCCAGGCGGAGCGCGAGUAAUACUCUCUAGCUUGUUGCUUCCCCUGUGUGAUCAAUUAAGUUCCAGAUGCAGCGCACACUGCCAGAGCGCUUCAACUUCUCCGCGGUAGAAAACGAGGACUCCGUGGGCAUUGUAUGCAAAUCUGCGUGUAUGUGCGCUGCACAGGAAUAAUUGCGUUUCCCUCUUUGUUUGCAUAAGGGAACAUCCGCCGUGCGGAUACGUACACACGUGCAGAGAAACAAGAAAACGCUUUUACUUCUAGCGUUGCCAUGCGCUUAGAGACUAGACUGCAUUUUAAGUUACUUCUCUAGCUUUUUCUUCAGGAAGGGUAAAGACAGCCAGAGCAGCCAGCGCGGGCAGAUGUUGGGGGCUGCUGGGCUGCUCUGGGUCCCCGCAGCGGGAAGGAAUCGGAGCCUCUCAGUUCACGUCGGGGCACUUACCUGGUCGCAGCUGUCAGCGCAUUUUGCGCCGUCUCUCUCAUUAAAUACACAAAAGUAAAGCGAUGUUCAACAAGCAAAGCAACCUGUCUGUGCGUUAAGUUUUACACAGCCCGUCUUUAAACAGAUGAACAAACCUACAACUCCUGUAGAGUUGGUGGAACAGUCUCUGAAGUUUUGAUUCAAAGAGCAAGAAAUUCCGCCUUAAAAGUCAUUCACACAAUUCUAAACUCCCCCCUCUCCCCAGUUAAUGCCGGGCAAUUAACAGGCACGUUUCAAAAUUCCCUCUCCUGACACUCCCCGACAAUGAAGACUUUUCACAGGCACGUUAAAGAUGUUCAGAGAAACUUUUGCAAAAUAAUCAACAGCAUCUGAGAGAAAGCUAAAGGAAAAGAAGUUAAAGCCUCAUCAUCCGAUUGGGAGAAAGUUUUGCUAGACAAGAUAAAAGCAGAUCACUGCACGUUUUUUCACAAGCAGCCCCAUCAGCUGAUGCGAGCUCCCCUAGAACCAGAACCUCUGGCGAUCUCCUCAAAAUUUAGGGGACGUUUGCAUUUUGUAACGCCCAAAGCUAAAGAUCUGACUGAAAACAAAAACCUCUGAAUUCUUUAGAGCGUCAUCUGCCAACACAGUGUAUUGUCCUGGCAGAAACAGGAUCAAGGAGACUUUAAUUUCAUUUGAAACUGUGCAUCAUCUUGACAGUAAAGCAAAAAGCCGCAGCAACAACCUCCCCAGUCCCCCCCUCCCCCGUUCCAAAAAAAUAAAAAAAAUAUAUUAAAAAAAAAAAA